GGAGAGGUGGCCGAGUGGUUGAAGGCGCACGCCUGGAAAGUGUGUGACUGCAGAAAUGUGGUCCCAGGGUUCGAAUCCCUGCUUCUCCG
rnacentral:tRNA from 1 species